rnacentral:rRNA from 1 species
GACGAACGCUGGCGGCGUGCUUAACACAUGCAAGUCGAACGGUGAAGCAGAGCUUGCUCUGUGGAUCAGUGGCGAACGGGUGAGUAACACGUGAGUAACCUGCCCUUGUCUCUGGGAUAAGCGUUGGAAACGACGUCUAAUACCGGACACGAGCUGAGACCGCAUGGUCAGCUGUUGGAAAGAUUUUUUGGUUAAGGAUGGACUUGCGGCCUAUCAGCUCGUUGGUGAGGGAAUGGCUCACCAAGGCGACGACGGGUAGCCCGCCUGAGAGGGUGAACGGCCACACUGGGACUGGGACACGGCGCAGACUCCAACGGGAGGCAGCAGUGGGGAAUAUUGCGCAAUGGGCGCAAGCCUGAUACAACGGCGCCGCGUUAGGGAUGACGGCCUUCGAGUUGUAAACCUCUUUGAGUAGAGAAGAAGCGGAAGUGACGGUACCUGCAGAAAAAGCACCGGCUAACUACGUG